GACGAACCGUGCGAACGUUGUUCGGAAUCACUGGGCUUAAAGGGCGCGUAGGCGGUUUUUCAAGUCUAGGGUGAAAUCUUCCGGCUUAACCGGAAAAGUGCCUUGGAUACUGAAGAACUAGAGGGAGAUAGGGGCAGCUGGAACUUCCAGUGGAGCGGUGAAAUGCGUUGAUAUUGGAAGGAACGCCGGUGGCGAAAGCGAGCUGCUGGAUCUCAUCUGACGCUGAGGCGCGAAAGCUAGGGGAGCAAACGGG
rnacentral:rRNA from 1 species